rnacentral:rRNA from 1 species
GCGAUUGGGCCGACGUCGCAUGCUCCCGGCCGCCAUGGCGGCCGCGGGAAUUCGACUCUACGCACGCGUGAGGGACGAAGGCCUCUGGGCUGUAAACCUCUUUUAUCAAGGAAGAAGAUCUGACGGCACUUGAUGAAUAAGCCACGGCUAAUUCCGUGCCAGCAGCCGCGGUAAUACGGGAGUGGCAAGCGUUAUCCGGAGUUAUUGGGCGUAAAGCGUCCGCAGGCGGCCCUUCAAGUCUGCUGUUAAAAAGUGGAGCUUAACUCCAUCAUGGCAGUGGAAACUGUUGGGCUUGAGUGUGGUAGGGGCAGAGGGAAUUCCCGGUGUAGCGGUGAAAUGCGUAGAUAUCGGGAAGAACACCAGUGGCGAAGGCGCUCUGCUGGGCCAUUACUGACGCUCAUGGACGAAAGCCAGGGGAGCGAAAG